rnacentral:rRNA from 1 species
GACGAACGCUGGCGGCGUGCUUAACACAUGCAAGUCGAACGGUGAAGCACCUUCCUUUUGGUGGGUGUGGAUGAGUGGCGAACGGGUGAGUAACACGUGAGAAACCUGCCCCCUUCUUCUGGAUAACCGCAUGAAAGUGUGGCUAAUACGGGAUAUUCUGGGUCUGUCGCAUGGCGGGCCUGGGAAAGAUAUUGUUUCGGUGGGGGAUGGGCUCGCGGUCUAUCAGCUUGUUGGUGGGGUGAUGGCCUACCAAGGCGGAGACGGGUAGCCGGCCUGGGAGGGUGGACGGUCACACUGGGACUGAGACACGGCCCAGCCUCCUACGGGAGGCAGCAGUGGGGAAUAUUGCACAAUGGGCGCAAGCCUGAUGCAGCGACGCCGCGUGAGGGAUGGAGGCCUUCGGGUUGUAAACCUCUUUCGCCAGUGAAGCAGGCCUGUCCCUUUUGUGGGUGGGUUGACGGUAGCUGGAUAAGAAGCGCCGGCUAACUACGU